UAGGGCUUGAACUGGAAAGAGAAGAGGGAAUGGGAAUAUUCACGUUUUUUUUUGGAGAAAUGGGAGAGGGAAUUUCAGACUUGGCAUUUUUUUAAUUUUCAGUUAAGUCGUUUUUUUUAUUUUCAUUUCCACGUGGCGUCCGGCGAGUCCACGUAGACAAUCCGGCGUCCACGUCAUCUCUUCAGUUGGGGAUUUCCGGUGCCAUGUGCAAUUCCAGAAAGAUAUCAAAGUUUAUGUAUUGUGGGGCUGAAUUUAAAGAUCAUGUGCAAUUCCAGAAAUUUGUGAAAGUU
rnacentral:lncRNA from 1 species